UACGUAGGGUGCAAGCGUUGUCCGGAAUUAUUGGGCGUAAAGAGCUCGUAGGCGGUCAGUCGCGUCUGCUGUGAAAACUCAGGGCUUAACCCUGAGCUUGCAGUGGGUACGGGCAGACUAGAGUGCGGUAGGGGAGACUGGAAUUCCUGGUGUAGCGGUGAAAUGCGCAGAUAUCAGGAGGAACACCGGUGGCGAAGGCGGGUCUCUGGGCCGUAACUGACGCUGAGGAGCGAAAGCAUGGGGAGCGAACAGG
rnacentral:rRNA from 1 species